rnacentral:rRNA from 1 species
CCCCCGGCGUUGGUAUUUGUCUGGUUAAUUCGGAUAACGAACGAGACCUUUACCCUCUAAUUAGAUCCUUUUAUCUGAUAUUCGGUAUCUUCUUAGAGGGACUAUGUAAAACAAAUACAGAAGUUUGAGGCGGUGGCAGGUCAGUGAUCCCUUAUAUGUCCUGGGCUGCAACGCGUGCUACACUGAUGUAUACAAACAAGUGCCUACCAGACAUGGUAUGGCAAUCUCGAAUAUGCAUCGUGAUGGGGAUAGAUCUUUGCAAUUAUAGAUCUUGAACGAAGAAUUACUAGUAAUUCAAGUCAUCAUCUUUCUUGCAUUGAUUAUGUCCCUGCCCUUUGUACACACCGCCCGUCGCUCCUACCGAUACCGGGGAUCCGGGACCUUUGACCUACGUUUAAACCCCCCUUCUAAAAUGAUGACGCAACUCCCCGCCCCCGAUUCAGAGUCCUUCAUUCAGAUG